GCUGCAGAAACCAAAAGUGGCCAAGGAGCAGAAAGAAGCCGGAGUGCAGUUGCAGCUGGAGUGUGGAGAGAGAGGUGGCAGCAGGGCUGGGGAGACAGGAUGAUGGGCUGAACUUGUAAGGCAGAUGAAAUUCCAAACAUUUAUACCCCAGGAGGCUCAGGUGCCCACCUACCAGGUAGAAGAUUUGCUGGAGUCAUUGGAGCAGUGGGAAAACUAGGGUUCAACAGUUAAUGAAGCUCUACAAGUUCACACUGCCGGAAGUCAGGACCG
rnacentral:lncRNA from 1 species